UACGGGGGGGGCAAGCGUUGUUCGGAAUUACUGGGCGUAAAGGGCUCGUAGGUGGUCAACUAAGUCAGACGUGAAAUCCCUCGGCUUAACCGGGGAACUGCGUCUGAUACUGGAUGGCUUGAGUUCGGGAGAGGGAUGCGGAAUUCCAGGUGUAGCGGUGAAAUGCGUAGAUAUCUGGAGGAACACCGGUGGCGAAGGCGGCAUCCUGGACCGACACUGACACUGAGGAGCGAAAGCUAGGGGAGCAAACAGG
rnacentral:rRNA from 1 species